AGGUCAGUAGCUCAGUUGGUAGAGCAUCGGUCUCCAAAACCGAGGGUCGAGGGUUCAAGUCCUUCCUGACCUGCCA
rnacentral:tRNA from 1 species